rnacentral:tmRNA from 1 species
CCGGUUGACAGCCGUCGAACUUUGUACUAUAAUAGUUCCUGCCGGCAACGGCUAUGAUGCUAAAUGCAUAUUGGAAUAGGCAUUUCGGACUCGGGUGCGAUUCCCGACAUCUCCACCAUUUACGGGGAUGAACAGCUUCGACGGGUGCAAUAAAGGAUAGGCGUGCAUCAGGGUAUUAUUCCGCCCUGCUUUCGAGCGAACGGGUUAAAAAGAACGAAUGCUAAUGACAAUCGUCCUGCGCUUGCCCUGGCUGCCUAAGCCGGAAAGCGCGUAGAUUCUUUGGGAAUCUUGGACUUCCAAAGUGGGGCCGCGCCCGCCCAGCAACAGGAGGGCGCUUUU